rnacentral:lncRNA from 10 species
CCGCCGACCUGCCGGGGCGCAAGAGGGCUCUGCCAUCCCUGCCAAGGUGAAGACGCCCUGAACCCAGAGGACGCUGGCCACAAGCUUGUCCGCAUUCUCUGUGCUGUACACCCGCCAAGGGCUUGACUUCAGCCUCACACCUCCCAUAGUGACCCCAUAUUCCAGAUGGGUAAACUAAGGCUGGGGAAAGUGAUGUAUCCAGGGUCCCCGAGCCAGGAUGAGAGCCAGGUUCAUUGAAUUCCAAAGAGGCUGGGAAAGAAGAGGGUGUAUUAACUGAGCACUUGCUGUGUGCCAGGAUUCAUGCUCAGUGCUUGCUUGCUUUUAUUUUUUUGAGACGGAGUCUCUCACUCUGUCACCCAGGCUGGAGUGCAGUGGCGUGAUCUCAGCUCACUGCAGCUUCUGCUUCCCAGCUUCAAGCGAUUCUCGUAACUCAGCCUCCCGAGUGGCUGGGACUGCAGGC